AGCCCACGGUGUGGACAUCUUCUAAGCAGAUCCUUAAAUUGUUCCCAAGCCUCAUAUCAAGAUUCCCCAUCAAAUUGUGUGGAUGAAGUUAUAUCAUUGCUCAACUU
rnacentral:snoRNA from 1 species